AAAAUCUUCCCGGAGAUUGCAGAGGAACGGACGACGAGGGAGUCAAAGAAGACCCUUUCUAAGCGGGGGUCCGCAGGUAAUGCCGCCCUUAUCUUGCCUACCGUUUGUGCCAUGUAAGAAUUCCGAUACUGCCGCUGAAUCACGCUUUCAGGACCCAGCGACGGCGCGCGAUGCCGACAUCCCGACGGGGCGACUGCAGACCCGAUACCGCGGGAAGUCCGGCGAAAGAAUCACGACAACUCAAGAUCCGCCGACGCCUCGUCGAGGAGGAAAUGACGCCCCGAUGGCGGAGGAUACGUCGGGCGAGGAGAGAAGAGUCGGCCACGCAAAGAAGCGCCAGGAUUCCCGUGCCCGGGGCCCAUAAUUAUCGACCGCCGUGCGUGGAUCGAUCAGCCGGCGACAGCGUGGGCACCGCGCUCUGCGCGAAAAUCGAUUUUCGCGAAAUCAGCCAAUAAGGGCCGGGAGCGCCGGAGGCAGGGUGGGGCGCGCCGCCGAGCGGCUCCCGCGAGAUCCAGGAUUCCUCACUCGUGCUGCGGACUUAGAGACAAAAAUUGUGCGUGCGUUCCGAGUUCCCGAGCCGAGCUGUAAGGGAGGACGAAGGGACGGAAGUCAUCCCGACCCGGAGGAGGCCACGAGGAGAGAGGCAAAGUGGAAAACGGUGUACGAAUUAUUAUCAUGAAAUCAACGAGGAGUGCAUAAACCAAGUCGAGUAGCAAGCGUGGCGUAACAUGCAUGAGGGUAAUGUAGCAUGAUGCAUGCUCAUAAAAGUUAUUGUGAUGAAGACGAAAUGUGGAUACUGAAGAACUUUUCUAUGGUCCAGGGGUUGCUGAAUAACAGUGAGUGAGUUAAUUUUUUAUUUCAAAGUAUAAAUAAUCUGAAAAUUUUAAACGCGUUUUUCUCAAAAUAAGAUUUUUUGACCGCGAUUUUUGACAGCAAAUCAAAAAAUCUAACAAUCCAAUUAAUUUGAUUAAGACAGCAUUUUGUAAAAAAAAACUUUUUACAAUACGUAGCCAUUUUUUGAUUGAUAAAGAAUAAAUUGUAAUAUAAUAUUAAAAAUGUAUUUAUUAAACUUAUCAAUUUAAGCAAUGGUUAUUAAUGUCUUCAUCAUUGUGGUAAUGCAUCUGCAACGGCUUACAAAUUUCUUCGGUUUCCUGUAUACCUAAAUGUCUAACCCUAGCGUUUCAGAAUCAUUGUUUUAUUAUUUUUAAGGAUGCAACAAUCUCUUUUUGAAAUUCUUCCCUGGUUGGCUUAGGAUAUAGUAUCGAUUUGAUGCUGCAACUUCCAAAAUAUAAAAGAUAAUUUAAUAUUUUAUAAUCAAUAUUAUUUAACAAUAGCGCACAAAGUAACAAAUAUAUACGUACGAUAAAUUGCUUGAUAUAAAACUGUAUUAUAGAAUGGUAAUUUAACAUCAUUAACUCCCCACCACAUCAAAUGCUCGGCUACUUGCGCUAUUAGGCUCCCUUCAUGCAUUGAUGCAUGCUGUCUUUUAAUGUCACGCAGUUUAAAAAAUUUAAGUAAUGUACCUGAAUAUAAAUACACAUUAUUACAACAAAAGAAAGAAAUGCUAUUUAGUAUAUUUUUAUAUAAUUGUAAAACAAUGAUUCCAUGACGUUUUGAUCUAUAAUAAAUUUAUUUUUAGUGCGAUGAUAGAGUCACGGUGACUUAAAAAAUAAACAUAAAAAUAAAAAUGAAUUGAUUUUUACACAUAUAUUGAUCAAUGAUUCAAAUUUCUUACAAAAUUGUCGAGGUAUGGAACAAAUUCUGAUGAUACAAAUUAUUGCACAGUAAUAUAUGACUGAAGUAUAUGCAUUUAUAAAAUAAUUCUUUUUAAUACAUUAAAAAUGAAUUAUAAUUUGUAUGGAAUAUAUGAAAAACAUAAUAUAAAGCAAAA
rnacentral:lncRNA from 1 species